rnacentral:lncRNA from 1 species
ACAACACUACCAAUCUGCUCUUUACACUUUCCUCCAAAGCAGCCCCGAUUUUCACUUCUUUCUUACCCUCGUCGGUACCCAAAUUUACAACCUCGAUCGGUUCUUCAUGCGGCUGAAUCACCUUCUCCUCUUGUUUCAACAGCCUGGCUAAUUCCCCUGGCAGUUCACAAUCUUCUUCGUCUUCUUCUUCAGCAAGAUAGAUUGGAUUGUCAAAGUCAU